AAGCAACAAUUACAUAUGCAACGAUCCAUUUUAUUGUACCCGUUAAAGAACAAAGAAAUACUAACUGUGUUCGAAAACUAUUUAGUUUUCCGAUAAGUUCAAGCUCAAACACAAACGUAAUUGGAAAGCGACAACUUGAAAGUAGUCCAUAUCAGAAUUAACUGAAUAAUGCUGGAAAUAAGUUUAGUGUCCAUUCUAGUUUAUAUUUAUUAAUAAAUGUUUUUUAAAAGACAUUGAGAGGGUGGCGUACAUACUGUGUCUUUAGAAUAAGGCGCCUAAUGAAGUGCUAGUUUACUAUCACGCUAAAAUUAAACAAUCGCUUCUGCUGUUUAAUUUAUAGCUUGAUUGAUAUUUGUUUUCCAUAAAUGAAAGACAGUUUGAUUAAAAAGGAUAAACAUUUUGAGUACAAGAUCAAGAUCAAGAAAACUUAAAAAAAUCAAUCAGACUGUUGAACUGAAAACUAGCAACGAAAAAAUGUACAAGAUGAACUUUCAAUUUAAUAUAUUAAAAUAAGAAAAAUCUUUAAUGCAGACUACUCUUUCGCACCUAAAAGCUCCAAAAACCAUUCCAAGAGCAUGGAAGAUAACUCACUAUAAACAAAUCAUAACAGUGGAUAAACAUAAAAC